rnacentral:lncRNA from 1 species
ACUCACAUUUAUCAAAUGUUCAUGAAUUGAGGAAAAUACGUCAUUUUUUGCUGCAUGAUUAUCAAAGUUAAAAAAAAUCCUCUAUUUACAGUUUUAUAAAAUUUGUGUCACAUAAUCUCCCUGCAAAAUGAAACAAAUUGCUGUUUUGAAAAAUAGGGGUCCAUGAACUCGUUUUCAAAUUAAAUAAGUUUGAAUGAUAAAAAUCAGUCGAAAAAUGCAUCUUUUCCCGAUAUGUCACAGUUUGAUGUCGCGAAAAUAACAUUUUACGUUAGCAACGUCAUUAUCUCCCCUGUAACUGUAUCGUAUGCCCUUAAUCUGUAUUUCUUUAUUGACAAAACUUUGUGUUAACAAAUGGGGAAAAGGUUGUCUUCGUCUUUGCAUAAUUUUGCAAAAUCUUUGUCUUCUUUUCUUUUGUUGAUUUUUUGUUUUCAGAAACCACAGCAUUUCUUUAUGUUGUAACUUCUUUGCUACAGUUUUUUGUUUAAAAAAAAAAGAAAACUGCAAGAAUACCAGUAUGAAAAUUUGAACUUGUGAUUCAAGAGAAACAAUAACUGUGUCAAUAAUUUUUAAGUGUGUGUAUCAACACAUAAAUAUGAUUGAUUAUUUCUAUUUACCGUAUACACAAUGUUUACAGUUUUACAGAUAAUUGGGUCUGAUCCAUUGCAUUUGUUUCUUGAAGUGUGAACGCAGUGGUUCAGAUUCGAUGGAUAAGAUCAUUAUGAUUAAAGACAAUGUGAAUGCUAACUGGUUUUAUUUAGAUCGAUUCAAAUUAGAUUGAUUAUAAAAAAAUGCUAGUGUGAAUGGAGUCUUACAUGAAUCACUAGAGGCUAGCAGUGGCAGUUUGUUAAAAUUGACAACAUAACAGGUUUGGAUAGAGAGUUGGCACUCAUAUCACAUCUUCUUAUAUCUAUUAACUGAAAUAAUACUUUAUGAACACAUUCUAUACCAUACUUUUAUGAACACAUUCUAUACCAUGACUAGACUAAUUUCUAACAUGACAAAAUAUUUUGAUUAGUAGCACCUUAAAUAAGACUAGUAAAAACUUAUAGCACCUUCUGUAGUAUACAAGUAACAAGUGAAAAGGUUAAUAGUUUCACAAAAGGUAAAGAGAGAGGCCUUUUUUUUCUUUUUGAGAAAGGGAUUGUUCUUCCCAUAAGACUGACUGGUAUCAAGAUCUUUGGUUAGAAACCAGGGUAAUUCUAACAAAACAACCUAUGAAAUAUGGCUCAGUAAAGAUACAUACAUAUCUUAUGACAAACUUAGUUUUUUUCUGAAAUGAAGCAACUGUUACUCGUUACUUUGACUAAACUUUAAUUUAUAAUUCUGUAAGUUGGUUAUUUUAAGUUCAUUUCUUUAUGAUCUUUGUACUGAUUUUAUCUAUUUAUAAGGAAAAGCUCACAGUUUUGUUUUCACAUUUGAACAAAAAUAAUAGACAUUCCCAAACAAAGAACAGAGAUUGUCAAUUCUGAUAACACAUAGUCAGCAACUUCUCUCACAAAUAAAAUCAUGAUUAAGAAUUCUAAGAUUAUGUGUUUUGAUUAAAAUGGGAUAAACAAUAUAGAUCAUAAAAAUUGACAAUGUUUGCUGUGUCCCAGUUUUGACAAGACAAACAACUAAUUCAGAGUGAAUGAACAGAAAUAGAUAUUGACUUGGGUAAUGUCAAUUAAAAAAAUUAUAAAUAUAGCCUUAAUUUUGUUGACUGAUAUAUAUGCUCUCUUCCACCAAGUAAUGUGAUUUAUGGGUUUACAGUUAAAAUAAAAAUAAACUCAAAUGAUGAGAACUAAAAAGUAACUACAUUUAAGUAGAUGAUCCAAUGAAGUGUCAAACCAAU